GAUGAACGCUGGCGGCGUGCCUAAUACAUGCAAGUCGAGCGAACGGACGAGACGCUUGCUUCUCUGAUGUUAGCGGCGGACGGGUGAGUAACACGUGGAUAACCUACCUAUAAGACUGGGAUAACUUCGGGAAACCGGAGCUAAUCCCGUAUAAUCUUUUGAACCGCAUGGUUCAAAAGUGAAAGACGGUCUUGCUGUCACUUCUCGAUGGAUCCGCGCUGCAUUAGCUAGUUGGUAAGGUAACGGCUUACCAAGGCAACGAUGCAUAGCCGACCUGAGAGGGUGAUAGGCCACACGGGAACUGAGACACGGUCCAGACGCCUACGGGAGGCAGCAGUAGGGAAUCGUCCGCAAUGGGGGAAAGCCUGACGGAGCAACGCCGCGUGAGUGAUGAAGGUGUUCGGAUCGUAAAACUCUGUUAUUAGGGAAGAACAUAUGUGUAAGUAACUGUGCACAGAUUGACGGUACCGAAUCAGAAAGCCACGGCUAACUACGUG
rnacentral:rRNA from 1 species